rnacentral:rRNA from 1 species
UACGGAGGAUGCAAGCGUUAUCCGGAAUGAUUGGGCGUAAAGCGUCCGCAGGUGGCUAUGUAAGUCUGCUGUUAAAGAGUCUAGCUCAACUAGAUAAGAGCAGUGGAAACUACAAGGCUAGAGUACGUUCGGGGCAGAGGGAAUUCCUGGUGUAGCGGUGAAAUGCGUAGAGAUCAGGAAGAACACCAGUGGCGAAGGCGCUCUGCUAGGCCGUAACUGACGCUGAGGCGCGAAAGCUAGGGGAGCGAACAGG